UGAUGAUGAUAAUGAUGAUGAUGAUAAUGAUGAUGAUAAUGAUGAUGAUGAUAACACUACUCCUCCUCCUUCUCAUCAUCAUCAUCACCAUCAUCAUCAACA
rnacentral:pre_miRNA from 1 species